rnacentral:rRNA from 1 species
UACGUAGGGGGCAAGCGUUGUCCGGAAUCAUUGGGCGUAAAGCGCGCGUAGGCGGCUCGAUCAGUCUGUUGUGAAAGUCAAAGGCUCAACCUUUGAAUGCCGAUGGAUACUGUCGAGCUAGAGUCCGGAAGAGGCGGGUGGAAUUCCAGGUGUAGCGGUGGAAUGCGCAGAUAUGAGGAGGAACACCGACGGCGAAGGCAGCCCGCUGGGACGGUACUGACGCUAAGGCGCGAAAGCGUGGGGAGCGAACAGG